rfam:Arabis alpina cultivar Pajares chromosome 1, whole genome shotgun sequence.
AAAUGCAUUACAGGGCAAGAUCUCUAUUGGCAGAAAACUAUUACUUGACCUUUGCAUCUCUUUAUGCAUUUGCUUUGUAGUGAGUUCUCUGCCAAAGGAGAUUUGCCCGGUAAUUCUUAU